UGAGCAACCUGCCCUUGACCCUGGAAUAACAGUUGGAAACAGCUGCUAAUACCGGAUAUGACCUCCGAUGGCAUCAUCUGGAGGUGGAAAGCUCCGACGGUCAAGGAUGGGCUCGCGGCCUAUCAGCUUGUUGGUGAGGUAACGGCUCACCAAGGCUUCGACGGGUAGCCGGCCUGAGAGGGCGACCGGCCACACUGGGACUGAGAUACGGCCCAGACUCCGUAGGGAGG
rnacentral:rRNA from 1 species